UCCAGCUCCAAUAGCGUAUAUUAAAGUUGUUGCAGUUAAAAAGCUCGUAGUUGGAUUUCUGGCAGGAGCGUCCGGUCUCACACUCAGUGCGGGAACUUGGAUGUCUCUGGCCAUCUUUGGGGAUAUCCUGUUUGGCAUUAAGUUGUCGGGCAGGGGAUACCCAUCGUUUACUGUGAAAAAAUUAGAGUGUUUAAAGCAGGCUUAUGCCGUUGAAUAUAUUAGCAUGGAAUAAUAAGAUAGGACGUAGGUACUAUUUUGUUGGUUUGCGCACCCACGUAAUGAUUAAUAGAGACAGGCGGGGCUAUUCGUAUUGCAUUGUCAGAGGUGAAAUUCUCGGAUU
rnacentral:rRNA from 1 species